rnacentral:rRNA from 2 species
AAAACGACUCUCGGCAACGGAUAUCUCGGCUCUCGCAUCGAUGAAGAACGUAGCGAAAUGCGAUACUUGGUGUGAAUUGCAGAAUCCCGUGAACCAUCGAGUCUUUGAACGCAAGUUGCGCCCAAAGCCAGUAGGUCGAGGGCACGCCUGCUUGGGCGUCUCGCA